rnacentral:tRNA from 1 species
UGAUGUGUGGCUCAGUGGUGGAGCACUUGCCUUGCAUGCACAGGGCUUUGGGUUCCAUCCCCAGUACCUUGA